rnacentral:rRNA from 1 species
CCUACGGGAGGCAGCAGUGAGGAAUAUUGGUCAAUGGGCGGGAGCCUGAACCAGCCAAGUCGCGUGAAGGAAGAAGGUACUUAGUAUUGUAAACUUCUUUUGUCGGGGAACAAAGGCGGAGACGCAUCUACGGAUGAGUGUACCCGAAGAAAAAGCAUCGGCUCACUCCGUGCCAGCAGCCGCGGUAAUACGGGGGAUGCGAGCGUUAUCCGGAUUUAUUGGGUUUAAAGGGUGCGCCGGCGGGAGAUCAAGUCAGCGGUAAAAUGUAGGGGCUCAACCCGGCCUGCCGUUGAAACUGGUUUUCUAGAGUAGGAGAGAAGGAUGUGGAAGUCGAGGUGUAGCGGUGAAAUGCAUAGAGAUCACGAAGAACUCCGAUGGCGAAGGCAGCAUACCGGCUCCAUACUGACGCUGAGGUACGAAAGCGUGGGGAUCGAACAGGAUUAGAUACCCCAGUAGUC